GAAAAAAAUAAGGAGUCCCUUUAGGGUCAGAAGGGACAACCUCUCGUGGUUCGUCAACGAAAGGGGAAGUGAGAGGACUCACUCUUCUCUAGCUGUUGCCUGAAAUUUCUUUAGGAAAGUAAAUGUUGGUGCUGGUCACUCUUUGGGUCUGUGCUGCCUUUAUGAGCUGUAACACUCACCACAAAGGUCUGCAGCUUCACUCCUGAAGUCAGCGAGAGCAUGAAGCCACCGGGAGGAAAGAACAACUCUGGACGCGCCAACUUUAUGAACUGUAACACUCAACGCAAAGGUCUGCAGCUUCACUCCUGACGUCUGUAAGACCAUGAACCCACCAGAAGGAAGCAAGUCUGGAGAUGUCCGAACAUCAGAAGGAACAAACUCCAGAUAAACCGUCUCUAAGAACUGUAACACUCACUGCCAGGGUCCGCGGCUUCAUUCUUGAAGUGAGCAAGACCAAGAGCUCACCAAUUCUGGACACAGCACCAUUAUUCACAACAGCCAAAAAGUGGAAACAAUUCAAAUGUCCAUCAACUGAUGAAUGGAUAAACUGUGGUAUAUCCAUAGAAUAGAAUAUUAUUAGGUAAUAAAAAGGACUUAAGUACUAACAUAAGCUUUAAUGUGGAUAUCCCUUGAAAAUAUUGUAAAUGUAAGAAGCCAGAAACAAAAAGCCAGAUGAUUCCGUUCAUAUGAAGUGUCCAGCAUAGACAAAUCUGUAAAGAUAGAAACUAGAUUCAUGGUUUCUUAGGGCCGGGAGAGUAGGUGGGAAGGUGGGGCAAUGGGAAAUGGCUAUUAAUGGGUAUAAGGUUUCUUUUGAGGGUGAUGCAAAUGUUGUAAGAUUGAUUGUGGUCAUUGUUGUAUAGCAUAUGAUUAUACUAAAACUAUUGACUUGUAUACUUUAAAUAGGUGGCUGUGUGGUAUGUUAAUUAUAUCUCAAUAAAAUUAAAAAUAAAAC
rnacentral:lncRNA from 1 species